rnacentral:rRNA from 1 species
GGUGGCGGACGGGUGAGUAACACGUAAGAAUUUGCCUUUAGGAGGGGGACAACAACUAGAAAUGGUUGCUAAUACCCCAUAUGCUUUCGAGUGAAAUGGAUUUUUCCGCCUAGAGAGAAGCUUGCGGCUGAUUAGCUUGUUGGUGAGGUAAUGGCUCACCAAGGCGACGAUCAGUAUCUGGUUUGAGAGGACGAUCAGACACACUGGAACUGAGACACGGUCCAGACUCCUACGGGAGGCAGCAGUGGGGAAUUUUCCGCAAUGGGCGAAAGCCUGACGGAGCAAUACCGCGUGAGGGAUGACGGCCUAUGGGUUGUAAACCUCUUUUUUCAGGGAGGAAUCAAUGACGUGUACCUGAAGAAUAAGCAUCGGCUAACUCCGUGCCAGCAGCCGCGGUAAGACGGGGGAUGCAAGUGUUAUCCGGAAUCACUGGGCGUAAAGCGUCUGUAGGUGGUCCAAUAAGUCAACUGUUAAAUCUUGAGGCUCAACCUCAAAAUCGCAGUCGAAACUAUUAGACUAGAGUAUAGUAGGGGUAAAGGGAAUUUCCAGUGGAGCGGUGAAAUGCGUAGAGAUUGGAAAGAACACCGAUGGCGAAGGCACUUUACUGGGCUAUUACUAACACUCAGAGACGAAAGCUAGGGUAGCAAAUGGGAUUAGAUACCCCAGUAGUCCUAGCCGUAAACAAUGGAUACUAGAUGUU